UUGUAGGGUCAGGGUUAGGGUUUCGGAUUGGUGGGUAUGAGUGUAUGUGUUUAUAGGGUCAUUGGGGUAUGGAGGUGUUGGGUUAUGGGGGUGUAGGGUUACAGGGUCAUAGGGGUGUGGGGUUAUGCGGUUAUAGAGGUGUGGGGUUAUAGGGUUAUAUGGGGUUAUAAGGUUCUAUGGGCUAUGGGCUAUAUGGGGUUAUAGGGUUAUAUGAGCUAUGGGUUAUAUGGGAUAUGGGUUAUAUGGCUAUAGGUUAUAUGGGGUUAUAGGGUUAUAUGAGCUAUGGGUUUUAUGGGGUUAUAGGGUUAUAUGGGCUAUGGGUUAUAUGGGGUUAUAGGGUUAUAUGGGGUUAUACGGCUAUGGGUUAUAUGGGGUUAUAGGGUUAUAUGGGGUUAUAUGGCUAUGGGUUUUAUGGGGUUAUAGGGUUAUAUGGGGUUAUAUGAGCUAUGGGUUUUAUGGGGUUAUAGGGUUAUAUGGGGUUAUACGGCUAUGGGUUAUAUGGGGUUAUAGGGUUAUAUGGGGUUAUACGGCUAUGGGUUUUAUGGGGUUAUAGGGUUAUAUGGGGUUAUAUGAGCUAUGGGUUUUAUGGGGUUAUAGGGUUAUAUGGGGUUAUAGGGUUAUAUGGGGUUAUAUGAGCUAUGGGUUUUAUGGGGUUAUAGGGUUAUAUGGGGUUAUACGGCUAUGGGUUAUAUGGGGUUAUAGGGUUAUAUGGGGUUAUACGGCUAUGGGUUUUAUGGGGUUAUAGGGUUAUAUGGGGUUAUAUGAGCUAUGGGUUUUAUGGGGUUAUAGGGUUAUAUGGGGUUAUAGGGUUAUAUGGGGUUAUACGGCUAUGGGUUUUAUGGGGUUGUAGGGUUAUAUGGGGU